rnacentral:rRNA from 1 species
GACGAACACUGGCGGUGUGCUUAACACAUGCAAGUCGAACGGUAAGGCCCUUUCGGGGGUACACGAGUGGCGCACGGGUGAGUAACACGUGAGUAACCUGCCCUCAUCUCUGGGAUAACAGUCGGAAACGGUUGCUAAUACUGGAUAUGAGCUUGCAAGGCAUCUUGUGGGUUGGAAAGAUUUUUUUUGGUUGGGGAUGGACUCGCGGCCUAUCAGCUUGUUGGUGAGGUAGUGGCUCACCAAGGCUUCGACGGGUAGCCGGCCUGAGAGGGCGACCGGCCACAUUGGGACUGAGAUACGGCCCAAACUCCUACGGGAGGCAGCAGUGGGGAAUAUUGCACAAUGGACGGAAGUCUGAUGCAGCAACGCCGCGUGCGGGAUGACGGCCUUCGGGUUGUAAACCGCUUUCAAUUGUGACGAAGCUUUUUUGUGACGGUAGCAGUAGAAGAAGCACCGGCUAACUACGUG